GAUGAACGCUGGCGGCGUGCCUAAUACAUGCAAGUCGAGCGAACAGACGAGGAGCUUGCUCCUCUGACGUUAGCGGCGGACGGGUGAGUAACACGUGGAUAACCUACCUAUAAGACUGGGAUAACUUCGGGAAACCGGAGCUAAUACCGGAUAAUAUAUUGAACCGCAUGGUUCAAUAGUGAAAGACGGUUUUGCUGGCACUUAUAGAUGGAUCCGCGCCGCAUUAGCUAGUUGGUAAGGUAACGGCUUACCAAGGCAACGAUGCGUAGCCGACCUGAGAGGGUGAUCGGCCACACUGGAACUGAGACACGGUCCAGACUCCUACGGGAGGCAGCAGUAGGGAAUCUUCCGCAAUGGGCGAAAGCCUGACGGAGCAACGCCGCGUGAGUGAUGAAGGUCUCCGGAUCGUAAAACUCUGUUAUUAGGGAAGAACAAAUGUGGAAGUAACUAUGCACGUCUUGACGGUACCUGAUCAGAAAGCCACGGCUAACUACGUG
rnacentral:rRNA from 1 species